rnacentral:rRNA from 1 species
GGGUCAGUAGGUCGGUCGUGCCACUGGUAUGAGCUGGUUUUACUGAUUCCUCCCUCUUGAAGAACUGUAAUGCCAUUAAUUUGGUGUUUUGGGGAAUUUGGACUGUUACUUUGAAAAAAUUAGAGUGUUUAAAGCAAGCUAACGCUUGAAUACAUUAGCAUGGAAUAAUGAAAUAGGACGUUCGAUCCUAUUUUGUUGGUUUCUAGAAUCGCCGUA